rnacentral:rRNA from 1 species
CCUACGGGUGGCAGCAGUGAGGAAUAUUGGUCAAUGGUCGAGAGUCUGAACCAGCCAAGUAGCGUGAAGGAUGACUGUCCUAUGGGUUGUAAACUUCUUUUAUCAAGGAAUAAAACGUGGCACGUGUGCCCUUUUGCAUGUACUUUAUGAAUAAGGAUCGGCUAACUCCGUGCCAGCAGCCGCGGUAAUACGGAGGAUGCGAGCGUUAUCCGGAUUUAUUGGGUUUAAAGGGAGCGUAGAUGGUUUGUUAAGUCAGUUGUGAAAGGUUGCGGCUCAACCGCAAAACUGCAAUUGAUACUGGAAGUCUUGAGUACAGUUGAGGUAGGCGGAAUGCGUGGUGUAGCGGUGAAAUGCUUAGAUAUCGCGAAGAACCCCGAUUGCGAAGGCAGCAUGCUAAACUGAGACUGACAUUGAUGCACGAAAGUGUGGGUAUCAAACAGGAUUAGAUACCCCAGUAGUC